GCCGGAGUGGUGGAAUUGGUAGACACGCAUGAUUCAGGUUCAUGUGCUCGAAAGGGCGUGGGAGUUCGACUCUCCCCUUCGGCA
rnacentral:tRNA from 1 species